CCUACGGGAGGCAGCAGUGGGGAAUAUUGCACAAUGGGGGAAACCCUGAUGCAGCGACGCCGCGUGAGUGAAGAAGUAAUUCGGUAUGUAAAGCUCUAUCAGCAGGGAAGAAAAUGACGGUACCUGAGUAAGAAGCACCGGCUAACUACGUGACAGCAGCCGCGGUAAUACGUAGGGGGCAAGCGUUAUCCGGAUUUACUGGGUGUGAAGGGAGAGUAGACGGCAGUGCAAGUCUGGAGUGAAAGGCGGGGGCUCAACCCCCGGACUGCUCUGGAAACUGUAUGGCUGGAGUGAAGGAGGGGUAAGUGGAAUGCCUGGUGUAGCGGUGAAAUGCGUAGAUAUUAGGAGGAACACCAGUGGCGAAGGCGGCUUACUGGACUGUAACUGACGCUGAGGCUCGAAAGCGUGGGGAGCAAACAGGAUUAGAUACCCGAGUAGUC
rnacentral:rRNA from 1 species